CAUACUGAAAUAAACGGGGUGCCUUAGAGGUUUCCAAGAUACACAGAGAUAUACUCCCAUCUGUUUUCUAGAAAGACAACACUUUAUCUUCAAGGCUUAACCCUUGGAAUUCUACCUCCAUGAUCUUAAAUUCUGAAAUUCCCCAGUCAACUUUGUAUUUACCUAUGCCUCCUCUUCAAAAUAGUUUGUUCUUCACUUUCUUUAUUAUCUCUAACUGCUUAAUCCCCCCACCCAUCAGUUACAAAAACAAAAACAAUCUCUGUUUAUCUUUCCUCUUUGGGCUUCACCUCUCAUUUCUUAGCCUGAACUCCAUGGCAUGCGAAAUCAGCAACUUCCCUUAGGAGAAACUAGAUUGUUUAGCUUUUCUGUCCUUCCACCAUACCUGUCCAGCCAAUCUCCUACCCUGCAGAAAGCAACUUCCAUUUAUUUUCUUCCAUCCUUCUCUCAGGGGACCAAGUGUUCCUGGACAAAGUCAUAAAAUAGGGCCAAUUGGUUUUUUUAAUAAAUCCACAUUUUUCAACCUUAACUGGAACCCUCAUUUCUGUUGGGAAUUCUAUUGGUCUUUUCUAACCAAUUGCCUUUCAUAUCCCAUCUCCUGCCCCACUUACCUGAAAACUUUACACUCUCUUACCCCAAGCCCUCAAACUGACCACUGUCACUUUUUGCAGAUGACCUUGCUUUCUCUCUUAUGAAGAUGGAGAUUAUUUAAUAUGAGUUAAUUGCUUGGCUUCUCAACUUGUACACUGUUCUGAGCAUUACUCAUUCAUCUUAUGGCAGAGGAAGAUGCAUGCAUUCUCCUCCUCUUCAAGGUCAACUUCUCCGCUUUUGUCUUUGACCUCAUUCCCCUUCCUUUCAUUUUCUCAACUCUCCUUUCUUUCCUGCAUAUCUCAUCUUUUCCCUGUGCCCAUACAGUGAUCUUAGUUCACUGUUUUUAUAAUACAUAUUUCUUCAUUAUUGUGAUCUCCGAAGUCAGGAUGCAUUUUAUAAUUGGUGGUGUUUUGUCUCCCUUACUGGUACGUCAACUAAGGUGUGUCUUACAAUCAAGGCCUUCUUAGAUUUGAUGGGAUACAGUAGUUGCUAAGACCUACGGGUUCCUUUUAAGCCAUAGCUCUUUGGCCAGUGCACCUCAUUGUGACAACUUUUCUUCCAAGUGACUGCAAAGCCUGUGAUGACACUGUACCCCCUCCAAUGCCUGAUUAAUAUUCCUAAAGCACAUCUCUAGUCACUAUCCUGUUCAGAAAUUCUCAAAGGUUUAUUAUAGAGGUGUUCAAAGUCCCCCCGCAAACAACCUCUACAUCUUUAUCUGCUACUCCCAUAUAUGCAUGCUACCACCCAGGAAAAUGGAAUAACUCUGUAAACUCCUUGCAUCUCUGUGCCUUUCUCUUGCAAGUAUAUCAGCUUUUUGCCUCCCCCACCCCGCAGUGCAAAUCUUAUCCAUCUUUCAGGGUACAGCUCAAAUAUCACCUCUUGGCCAAUCAAAGGUAUUUUUUUUGCCCUAUGAAUCCCACCGCACUUCAUCUGUUCCUCUCUUACAUAUCUUUCAUCUUGUAUUAUAGUUAUCACUGUAUACAUCUGUCUUCUACUACACUGAAAACCACCUGAUGCCAGGGUACAAGUCUGAAUCAUCCUCACACGCGCUCCCCACUAAUGAUAGUGUUGACGAGCCAAUAAUGAUAGACAAAGGCACCACCAACCCAGUGUGGGGGCCUCCAAAAGAAAUGGAUCUCACAGUAAAUGAACUGCUAACAAGAGAAGGCAAAGAGGUAUUGCAAAACGGAUCUUGAAGGAUACGUACUAAGGGGUUAGCAAUGACUAUCUCCAAGAAGCAAGAGUGUUGGGGAUGGGGGCAAAAACAGGAAAAUACUGGUGGCAAUUAAGAAUGAUUUUCACUUUUUCUUGGAGAAAUAAGAAAAAAUUUUAAAAAAAAUGACAUUCUGCCUUAUAUGCUUCUCUGUUGAAUUUCUGAAAUAAACACAUGCUAUUUUUAUAAAUUACUUUUUAAGAAGAGAACUUGGGGGAGACAGUACAAUAUUUAAGAACUCGUUUAAUGAUCAAUACAAUUCUGUAACUAUUUAUGUUUGGAAAGUGUAUUUGGACCAGCUAGAAAAUAUUAGGAUUGUGAUUUCUGUUCUUGUAACAAAUAGAUAAAGCCAUGCUAUCUCUGGAAGCUAAACUAGAAUUCGCGAUUAUUCAUGGUAUACAUAAUUUUUGUACUGAGUUAAAAAGGUUUAAAAUUAAUUAAAUUUAAUUAAAGAUUAAAAUUAAUCUGUAUUUUUAGGAUCUAACCAUAUAAAAUAAAGAAGACCAGAGUAAAAAAGGAAAUCAGUAACUUUCUCCAAAUCAAAGGCUAAAGAAAAUAAGAAUUGAUUCAAUAUGGUUUUAAAUCUCUAAGCCUGGUAACUAAUUAAUCCUUUCUUCUCUAUUAAAGACCUGUUAUUUUUGUAAUUAAAAAAUGUAGGCCUAUUAAAAAAUAUGAAUUGUCAUUGAAACAUGCUACUCUAGCUGGAGGUGUAUACAAAGGACUGUUAGCACAACUUUCUUCUUUCUCUAUUUCUGUAAUGUUUCAAUGUUUAAAAAAUAUUAAUUCAAGAUAUACAGUAUAAUCUAAACUGAUAAAAUGACAUUUAUAGUACCUCAUGGUAAAUAUUUAAGUUUAAAAAGUAAUAAGAUUUUUUUACUGCAAAACUCUUAAAACUUUUUUGUGAGAAAAGACACACAAUAUUGAUAUAAGUAGAAGAGUUUUUUGAAGAUAAAGGUAGACCAGGAAAUAAAAUAGCAAACAACUAUGUAUUACAUGACUAUGCAUAAGGCAUUGUACUUGAGGGGUAUGAGUAAUUUCAAAAUAUGGGCCUUGAUUAUGGUUCGAGAAGAAGAUAUAAAAAAGCUAAAUAAUAAAAGGAGCCAAAACAUAACUGACAAAAUGCAUCUAUCUUCUAAUUAAGUAUAAAACAACAUGUUAAAUUCAGAAAAGAGUGAUAUCUCUGUGGACUGGGCUGAUCUGGGAAAGCUCAUUGAAUUAGGCAGGCUUCUGAGGGGUGCACAGGCUGCAGGCAUUGGAGAGGCAAAGGCAACAUUAACAGUAAAGACGAAAAUAUGAAGGCAUAAAAACUUAAGACAUACUUGAAAAACAGAAGGCAACUAGUGAUGUGAUCUGAUUACACUAUAGGGCUUACAUAAGGGUGGUCAUACACCCUGGUUUGCCUGAGAUAGUGCUGUUAUCUUGGAUUAUUAACAAAUCCCAUCUUAAUCCCCCAGAGUGUCCUGCUUUGGACAAUAAAUUAUGUGGCCACCCUAGGACCACACUACAUUAUGUACAUAUCUGAAUUUAAUGUAAACUAAAAUCCUCUGAGUCUUUUUCACAUGUGCUCUGACAAGGAGGACAUAGUAGUUGCUCAGAAAAAAGGAAGCAUCAAGAGGAAGAUGGCUAUGGUUUCUAUCUACUCACAAAAGGAGGUAUUUAAGCCCAAAAAAAUAUGCUUGGCAUAUAAUAGACAGUAAGUAUCUAAUCAACAGAUGGUUGAAUAAAUGAAUACAUUAGGGAAUAAAUGAAUGGGAAAAGGAAACAAAGGUGAUAACAGAAAACAGUGGUUUCAGUUAAGACUUUUGGUAAAACCCAGACUAUCUCAGGAGAAAGUGAGGAUUUCACCAUUUUGUACAAUUAUCUUCUCUAAGUACAUUUGGUGGUUUGGCCUAAGAUAUUUUUAUUUGUGUUUAUUUUUGAUAUUUGUGUUUAUUUCUGAGCUAUAUAUAACCAAAAUGAGCUGCCAACGAAGUCGGGAAAUAGAUCUAAUAACUUUGAUUUUGAAUAUACUGAAUUAAUCAUUCAUUUUAAUCACCUAAUAAUGUUGAGUCCUAGUUUAUACCGGGCAAUUGGCUAAAUGGUGGCAAAGGUGAACCAGACAAAGCUUCCCCAAGUAGUCACCAGGAGAUACAGGUAUGUAAAGAAGAUAUUAUGAAGUACUGUAAAAGAAAUUAUAUUAGUUUUAUGAAUACAGUACUGCAGUAGCAGAGAGGAGUGUAUACUUGGGCAGGGUCUUGAAGAAAGAGCAAGGGUUUUCAGGGCAGAGAGGGCGGGUACAGGGAAAUGCUGUCAGGCAGAGGAAACAACACCAUGUCCAAAGGCAGUGAAAGAGUCAUGAAAGAGCUUACAAUGUUCCAAAAAUGGGAAGGAGUUUAGUGUGGCUAGAAUACACAGUGUAUGACAGGGGGUUGUGAAAGGUUGGGUCCAGAUUUUAAAGGGUAUGGAGUUAACUUUCUAGGCAACUGGGAGCUGUAAUUUAAAGCAGAGGUAUUCUAAGAUCAAACUUAUUUUUGUAGGGCAAUAUCUCUGCUGAUAUUAGAGGCAGAAGCCAGUUAGGCAGCUGUGAUGAUGGCUGUGGAGAAGGCCUCAAAUAGGCUGAGGCCUGGACAUAGAAAGGAAAGGUGAGAUUCAAGAGAUGCUUUGGAAUGGUGAUAAAAUGCAUUCAAGACAGCCCUAGGAACAGUACACACUGUUAUUAACCUUCCAGCAUUUUAGAUUAUUUUGAAGGACUAGAAAUUUCUGUUACCAAGUGGAUAAACUGUAGGAGAACUUGGCUAUUGGACUCUAAAGGGGACCUGUUUCUGAAAUGAAACUCUGGAGCUCAAAACAUACUUCUAGUCCAUAUAAAAUGUAUAUAGCCCUAAACAUUUUCUAAGACAAAACAGAAAAGAAGCAUAAACAAAAGUCCACAGGUAGCAAUAAAAAAAUGAUAAAAUAAAUCCAGAGGGCACUACACUUUUACAAAGGACACUGUCGGCUGAGUGAUCAGUGAAUGUCUUCACAGGGAGAAACCAAAUGAUCUUUUGCCAGACAAUGACAACAAAGAAUUAAAAUGAAAAGUGGCAAAAUAAUUUAUAAGAGAUGAGAAACCAUAAGCUAGUAACAAAUGGAAAUGUCCUUGAACCACUUUCAUUUCAAUAACACUGAAGUCUAUAAAAAUUGCAGCCAAAUAAUUCCUCCUUUUGUGUCUGCGUGAACAUAUAGAAAAGACAGAGACUGACUCUCCAAGCAAGGGAUAAUGCCAUGUAAAUGAACAUGUUCUUCUGUGCCUUCAUGUGAACUAUCUCUGCUAAAGAGAUAUUCAAACCUCAUCAUUUCAGUUAUCCAAAAUAAGGUUUUAGGAUUGCCAGACAUUUCCCACUAACUACAAUUCAGUGUGUAUUUCUUCAUCACCAAGUAAACUUACUGGGCAGUGGGCAGGAAAGGCCUGCUUUUAGAAGAAAGAUUACUCUUUCAGAAGAAGGAAAAAAACCAGCUUUAAACAUACUUAGAACCUAAGUCCCAUCUCCUAUUUGAGAGUAUCUAUGUGGUAAAUGAUCUCUGGAAAUAAACAAAACAAUUUACAUAUCCAACCACCAGGGACUGGGUACUAAAUAAGAGGAUAUUCUUAAAAUGGAUUUAGUCAAUGAAAAUCAUGUUUUCAAAGAUCAUAUAAGUGAGAAAGUAUAAAACUACAUAUCUGGCAUAACCAUCUUUUGUUUAAAAAGAUAUGUAGAUGUAUACAUAAUACACAGAAAAAUGACUAAAAUGAAAUAUGCCAAAUGUUAACAAUUACUAUCUUUGGAUGGUAGUAUUAAGAGGUAUUUUAAUUUUCUUUAUAUUUUCCUGUGUAUCCCUCAAUUUUAUAUAUUAAGCACGUGCUAAUUUUAUAAUUUGGAAAAGCAUUAUUUGAAAAUAAAGUUUGCUGUCUUAAAGUAUCGGCAAAAUGGAAUUAGAUUAAAAUUAUUCUUAAAUAAUAAACUUUAGCCUAUCUUAAUGCUAACUUUUAGCAACAAACCAAUUUGCAUUUUAAAAGUUUGUUUUGCAAACACACUGAGGUAUAACAAACAAAAGAUGUUCUUUACUAAUGUAUUUUUUACAGAUGAGCUUAUUUUUAACUCCACAGACUUAAUAAAAUAAAUAAUGGCUCUGUCCAUAUCAACCUUUCAGAAGGUGUGAGCACAAGCUAAAAUAUACAUGAGUUUCUGUAAGUUUUCAUGACUUUGCAGCAUCUUAAGGUUUUAAAAUAGAAUAGCCCGUGAAAAGAGAAGAGUACUAAACGGAAAAAUUAGUACUGGCCUAGGAAGUGAUUCACAUGAGAAAGUGAAUUCUUGAAGCCUAAUUUACAAAUGCCUAUGGAAUCGCAUAACACAGCUCAUUACACCUGGAUUUCGAUGUAACAGAGUAGAUCUGACAAAGAAUCAAAGACCUUUAAGCUGAAAGCUUCUUUAUUUUGCAGGGGAGGACAUGAACUUUGCAAAUGAGGAGCCAGAAAGAACUGACUUGCUCAAGGUCACAUGACUUAUAACUCAGGUUUCCUGACUUAUUAGUUCACUGGCUCAGGAACAGCCACUACUCAGCUAAGACAUGGUAUUGUUUCGGACUUCAUCUCACAUAUGUAAUGAAAAUCUCUGUGUCAAUGAAUCACCUAGACCAAGUUCCUGUUAAUUUCACAAGAGUUCCUGGAAGCAAAGAUGUGACGGUAUCAGAAAGAAACUCAUGAUAGCCCAAGGACCACAGUUACAUCUCAUCUAGCCUUGCCUUUUCCUCUUUGGGAAAGGAAAUCUAAUUGCUCUGGAGACACAACCAUAACACUGACCUUCCUUUUUUCCUGAGUAGAGGAGAAUUAAAUAAACCCUGGGACUUCUCACUUGAAACAGAACAUCAACACCCAUUAAAAGUCUGUCUACUGCACAGUUAACCUAUCUUAGAAGAGUUAGUGCCUCUUCAGGCACUAGCAGAAAACAAAGCUUCCAAAUCAUUAUCAGGAUGGCCCUUCACUGCAAAGACUCUAUGUUUAAAUGUUUCAUUUACUUGCAGCAUGCUAAUUGCCACUAGACCCCACUUGCCAAUUGAUAAACAGGUGUCAAGCAUAACACUGGAUUUAGAAGGCCAUAUCUGUCAUCUUACAAUGAUAUUCUACUUAAUAAAUUCAUCAUCACUGACUUAGCCACUUGCUACAAAGCUAUCAGAGUUGAAUGUAAAGAAGCUGGAAAAACAUUCGCUGAAUUUCCUAUCCAAAUAUAACCACCAUCUUGGUCAGACACAUGGGCUCUUUGAUAUGAGAUAUGAAGAAGAUAUCCUCAGCUAGUUCGCUCAAUUCAGCAGCAACAUAAUAAAGAAGAAAAUGAAAUGUAAGUUCUUUUUGCAACUGUAAGGCACUGAAACAAGUUUUAGAGAUAAACUGAAAAAUAAAAGAAGGUGAUUUCUUCUAAGCAGUAGGAAGGUGAGUUUUUAGUUUUCUCAUUUAUAAGGAAGAAGGAAGCAAUUCUAACUACCUAGACUGAUAAAAAGGUAGGUGAACAAUAAUUUCUUUCCAUUUUCAGAUUGCAGCAACCUCAAGAUAUUUCAUUUCUAUAAUGCAUAACCAUAAAAACUGAGGGAACCACAAUCCAAGCUGAUUGCUAAACAAAGUAUUAAGAUAGAUCAUGAGAAUAUGCAUUAAAACACAGUCCUGAAGAACUGCUCUUCUGCCAGAGCUUAGUUAUGGACGUGAUUUUGUUUUUUGAAGUUAGUCUGUUCAUGUUGUUAUACUAAGAAUCAGUUAUUUUCCAAAGAUUUAAUUCUAGGGUGGGAAAUAAUUUCUUAUCCAAAGCCACAGAAUCUCAGAGAAAACAAAGGCUCUACGCAAAAACAGGAAAUUAUUUAGAAUCAUAGAGUGAUAUAAUUUUAAUAACUUGAAGGACAUUUUAAGAAAUUACAUAACAUUUACUAAUUGAUUUUAAAAAUAGGUUAUUGACCGGCCGGGCGUUGUGGCUCACACCUGUAAUCCCAGCAGUUUGGGAGGCCAAGGCAGGCGGAUCACCUGAGGUUGGGAGUUCAAGACUAGCCUGACCAACAUAGAGAAACCCCGUCUCUAAUAAAAAUACAAAAUUAGCUGGGCCUGGGGUGGCACAUGCCUGUAAUCCCAGCUUCUCGGGAGGCUGAGGCAGGAGAAUCACUUGAACCUGGGAGGCGGAUGUUGCAGUGAGCUGAGAUCACGCCAUUGUACUCCAGCCUGGGCAACAAAAGCAAAACUCCGUCUCAAAAAAACAAAAGGUAUUGACCAAUUUGCUUUUUACAUGAAAAAAAAAAAAAAAACUGGAACCUAAUACUUUAUUCAGAAAAUAUAAGAUAUGCUAAAGCAUAUACUUCAGUUUUACAUUAUAAUCAACAAAACUAACAACAGAGUUGGAGGGUAGAGGGUGUGCUUAAAAGAAGUAAGUGUAAAAGAAAAGAAAAAGAAAUAAACAGAAGUCUUUUUGGCAAACUAAAGUACCAGAAGGUAAGGAAGAGGAAGAUACAGAAAGGAGUUUAGGAACAAAAGCAAAAAAAAAGAUAAUAAUAGUAAUAAUAAUAAGGGGGCCUAAGAGAAACAAGAAGUACAAAGAGAAGAAAUUUGGGUUAAAUGAAAUAAGGACUUUUGUCUUCCUCAUCUCUGUGUCCCAAUUCUUAGUCUAAACCUUAGCAACCGUCAAUAAAUGUUUACCACAUAAAAGUUAAGGAAGAUAAAGGGCUGAGAAGUUCAAUGAGUAGAAUUAUUCUUCAAAUCAUAUUUUACGGUUCCCGUAACCGUAAGUUCUCAAAAUAAGCAACUUAAUCUCAUUUAUUCUGUGAAUGUAACCAAGUUAAUUAGUCUCUUUGAAUUACAGGUUCUUGAUCUAAACAACAAACUGAACUAGAUGAUCUUUAGGGUCACUUCCUUAUUCUUUGCAGUAAUGGUGACCAAAUAUAGGUAAAUGAAAUCAAACGAAGGCUCUCAGCUUACACCUGGACUGCUUAAAUGGAAUCAGUGGUCAGUAGAUGCAAUUUAUAUUUUUUUGUACAACAAGAGCAAAAGUCACUUAUUGUUCACAUGACACAAGCUGCUGUCCAAAGAAACAUCCAGAUAGGUUUUAAUGUUUCAGAAGAGCAAUAUUAGAAAGGAUUUAUAAGUAUUUCUGCUCUAAUUAUUUCUCUGGCUAGGUGUAAUCUUACUGACAUUAAAAGGGUCUCUAACUCCAUAGAUUUCUGCAUAAGUGAUAUAAAUAUUGGAACAUUAUACAAAAUAAUGAAGGAUAUAAACAAAAUAGCAUCACUAUCACAAUGCCAUAACAAACUGAGGAUACUGCUAAGGAAGAAAAACAUGAUUAUUUUUGCAUUUUGCAAAGUAACAGGAUUCUCUUCAAGAAGUAGAGUGUUUUUUUAAUAGGCGGAAAAUCCUACUAGAAGUUAUUUCUUCAUUUUUAAAUGACAAGAAAGCCUCAAAUUAUAUAAAGCAAACAAGAAGAAAAAAUAUACUAAAUGAAAACAUAGCUUCAUGAAAUGAGAGCAGAAGUGGAGAGAGCUUCCUGGGUAAAUAUUUAAAAAAUCUCACUGUGGUUAAUAAAGGUAAUAAAAGAAUAACAGGAAGUGACACUAGGAAAAUAGGGCAGGUUAAUAUUAUUCAGAGAUUGCUAUAAAAGAGCACAGAAGAAACUGAUCUUCCACAGUCACUUGAAGCUUGAACCUAUGAGUCUCUUUUGUCAUUAUUUACACAUAUGAAAGUAUUACUGCAGAUCAUCAUAUCAUCACUCAGCAUAGUUCAGAGUCAGAAGACUAGGAAAAGGAAUGUUCUUUGCAGGUCAGGGUUUUGAUGACUGGCAAAACACUAGGCAAGUUGCACUGCAGUUGUCUGAACCACACCCAGACUGCAGUUAAAUAUAGAAUUUAGUUUCUGGAACUGUUAGUCUUAACCUUCACUGAAAAAAUUAAAAGUAAAGAGGAGAAAGGAAAGAGACUGAAACCAAAGUCUAUGUACUAAUAAACUGUCCUGGGAAGAAUUCCAAAAUGCAGUGAAAACCAAGAAAAUUAAAUUACAGAAACCUCAAGCAAUGUUCUAGAAAUCGCUUUACAAGCUGAUUUGUCUCUUCCAUGCUAGUUCUCCCAGGAUGUAUAGCAUCCUUGAAUAAAAUCCACUUGGUUACUAGAGAUGCAUGUCUCUAAUUCAGAUUUUAUACAUGUCAGGUUAACAGCAGUGACACCAAAUUUAAAACUAUGAUAUAAUUUUGGUUCGUUAUAGUAUUGUGGUUGUGAUGCUAUUUUUGUUCAUGAAGACACACUUUUAUUCUAAGACCUCAUUUUUAGAUGCUUAAAUUUGGGGGAAAGAGAUACUCUCAAGCUAAAAUUUUUAAUGCUGAUUCCUUGCCCGGGAGAAUAUUUUGGAUUAAUUUUUUAAAGCUGUUUUGGAGACUGACAGGGGUUAAAACAACAAAAACAAAAUAUUUUCUGUAUAAUUUCAGAGGGUUCUAGGCUUUACUAAUGAUUUUGUUUUAUAUUGCUCACUGAAGAUGACCAUGGACAGAAUUUAAUAACAAAAACACAUUCAAUAUACUUAUCCAUAAGAAAAAUAAAACACGCAAUAGUUUUAAUUACAAACACAAACAGAGAUAUUCAUUUGCCUUCAUUAGCAUUUAAUUUGCAUGUUCCUGGAUACACCCAAAUACAGGGUCAUCAUUCAGCCACUUCGAUUAAAAAUUAUAGCAAUCAGUAACCUUUCCACACAAAUUUGGCCCCCAAGCUGGUACUAUUAACCACUAUAUUCUAUUGCUUCUACCUAUCACUGCUAGGUAUUCUCACAUUUAUUCCUGCAUCCAGUCAAAGCUUUUUUCCAAGUUGUUGCUUCUCUUUCCUUCUUGCUUAGUUGGGUUGAAAAACCUAUAAGGAGAUUUGGAGGCUUAUUUUACCUUCCUCCCUUGAGACUAGAAUAGGUGCAAUAGCCAGGUCUUAUUCUUUUGUGUCCCAGUCACAUACACUAAUGCUCCAGAGACACACCUGUUUCCAAAGAUAAAGGAAUAUGUAGCCCAAAAUGCUGAAAGAUUAGUAAGGAAAGAGUACAUUAGAAGUCACUCUCCUAGGCCAUGAAGCCUUCAACACUUCUGACAAAAACCUUCUCUUCAGAUCUACUCCUUUCACUCUUCUCACCCUUAAAUGUAUCUGUUCUUUCUAUCCCUAGCACUUUGCCUCACAGCCCGUAAGUACUUCAUUGAAUGAAUGAACAAAUGGACAGUUAGGUUUGCAGAAUCACGUUUGAGCAUUGUAGAAUCACAUUAUUUGCAUAUGCAGAUAUUUCAGACAUACACUACAGAUGACUUUUUUUCCCCUUGAGAAUAUGUAAACUACUUAAGGUAAGCCUAGGUUAGUGCUAACACACAGCAAAUGCUUUAUUAAAAAAAGAAUAAAUAUUAGUCAAUUAUAUAUUUUAUCCAUUAAAAUCUAGUCAGGUCCUCUUUAAAAACAACAAAAUCCUUUUUAAUUAUAAAAAUUUUAAACCCACACAAAUAUAAUAAACCCACAACCCCCUACAUACCAGCUUCAACAAUUAACAACCAUUUUGCCAUUCUUGUUUCAUCUUUUCCCUGUUAUAAUCCCCAUAUGCUCUUAAACAAAUGGAAGGUUGUAACAUAUAUUAAUCUAGGGACAUCAGACUUUAGAGUUAACGAAGCCCAAGUCCACAAAUUAAAAACCAUCAGUAUAUACCCAAAUUAAAAUAACAUUCUUCUUAGUUAAUAAGAACUCAAAUCUGUGAAUAGCACUGGCUAAACAUCCACAUGUGACUGGGACACUUGUUAGCUCUGUGGUCUUAGGAAGUUAGUUAUUCAACCUCUUUGAGCCUUGACUGCCUCAUUAGAAAAAGGAAAAACCAGGCCUGCAGUGAGGAUUAAAUAUGGAGGGUAAGUAUAUGUGAAGCUUCUAACAGUGCACUGAAUAAAUGCCUUUUUUUAAAGCAGCUUGAUAUAAUUCAUAUAUCAAAAACUUCACUUAUUUAAGGCAUACAAUUUAAUAGUUUUCAGCAUAUUCACAAAGUUGUACAAGCACCUCCACAACUGAUUUUACAAAUCUUCAUCACCCCAAAAAGAAACACAUACCCCUUAGCCAUCACAUCCCCCACCCAACACCCCUAUCCUCCCCUAGCCCUAGGUAACACAUUUAUCUACUUUCUGUCUCUAUAGGUUUGCCUACUCCAGAUACUUCAUAUAAAUGGAAUCACACAAUAUUGUCCUUUGUGACAAUAAAUGUUUUUGGAAUUGGAUAUUUUAGAAGUCAAAUAUGUGGAAUACACAGUGGAAUGAGGUCAGAGAAGGAGAAAAUGCACAUAUAUAUGAAUGAUGCACCAAGACACACGCUAGGAAAUAUACAUAUCAUUGAAGUGCUCUGGGUAUGUUAAGAGGCAGGAAAACUGUGUGUGUGUGUGUGUGUGUGUGUGUGUGUGUGUGUGUACAUGGUAGCAAGUAGGUAGUUUGUGGACAGUCUCCUCUGAUUGCUUGAUUUUCCUCAUUUCCGUUCAUGAUGAGCAAGGUCAUCAUAAGAGAAUGAGGAUGGGGAGUUUGCACAGAGAGAAGAAAGUGUGAAAUAAUCUUACAGGAGAGUGGGAAAAAAUAAACCAGAAAGGUAUAGUAUUAAUUCUGCUUGGCAGAAUUAAAGACCCACUUGAGGUUAGCGGUCAUGAAUUUAAAAUGAGAUCAGUCAGCAGGGUUUUAAGUUUUUCUCCAGCCACAUUUCGCUGCAAAAAUGCAGGAACUGUAUAAAUGGAUAUAUUUAACCAGAGUUUAUUCACACUCAUGGCUUUAACUGUACCUAAUAUAUUGAUGACUCCCAAAUCUCCAUUUCUAGUGCCACUGAACUCUCUAACACAGAAAUCUUGAGGUGACUUCACAGUCAAAGCAUUAAACUAGAAGAAGCUUAGAUGGAAAAAGAACACUGGUCUAACAAUGGUUAUGAGAAAGGCAUUCUACUGUGUGAUUUGCACAUAUUAUCUCAAAUAAUUCUCAUAACUCUUCUCAUAAUAACCAUCUCCACUUUAUAGAAAGCUGAAAUUCCCACAGAUUAACAUAAAGUGAAGCUGUGACUAAUUCCUAAGUCUGUGUGGCUCUGAAGUCUGUCUUUUUACUUCAUCAUGAUAUUUAACUCUUCAUAAAUGUGGCACCUGGGGCCCAGAGAUGCUGAAUGAUUUGCCCAAAGUGAAAGCAUUUUCUAAUGGCAGGUACUGUCUCCCAGAGGCUCUCUGACUAUCACUAUGCUCAACUCUUACAUAUUUCCUGCUUUGUCAUUCAAUGUGUGACUAGGUUAGAUUGUUUUUCUUCCAUUUUUUUUCUGAUAUCUAUCACUUUUUAUCCAUUUUCUAUCCUUUUGCUUUUACAAUAUAGCUUAGACCCUCAGCAGUCAUGCAUAGGUUACUCUAAUAGCUUCCUAAGCUGGCCUCCAUCUAUUCCUCCUCUACUCCAGUGUUCUCCAACCUUUUUGGCACCAGAGGCCAGUUUCGUGGAAGACAAUUUUUCCACCGACGGGGUGGGGGGUAGGGAGGGUGGUUUAGGGAUGAAAAUGAAGAGUUCGAGCUCCUAUGAGAAUCUAAUGCUGCUGCUGAUCUCACAGCAGGUGGAGCUCAGGCAGUAAUGCUUGCUCUGCUGCCACUUGCCUCCUACUGUGUGGAGGUCCACAGCCCAGGGGUUAGGGACCCCUGCUCUAAUCCAUUUGCAUAUGGGUUAGUCACUUCCUUUCUCUGAGGCUCUUAUAUAUAAACUGCAAAUAAUAACAUACCUACAGUAUAGAAUUGUGAAGAUUAAAUAAAAAUAAUUUCGUAUAAUUAUCAAUAAAAUCAGUAACUGUAUAGUAAUUAAAUUCCUAUUCAAAUGUAAGCUAUUACUGCCUUAAGAUUUAUGAAGGCAGAUAUUAUAACUUAAAUAUAUUUUACAUUUUAUUUUACAUUUAUUUCCCCCUGAUUAUAUGCAUGUAGUAUGUGUUAAAAUACAUACUUGAUUGAUUUCUUGUCCAUUAUCCACACUCCUACCGCUAUUAUCUAACAGACCAAUCUAAUCAGAUACAUCUCCUACAUAAGGCCCGAAUGCCAACACUUACGGUAUAAUUAACCACGGUGCUUGUUUAAUUAUAGAAUGCACAGUAUAACCAAGUUCUGAAUAAUCAAAGUAAGAAUGCUCCUAACAUUAUAAUGCCUUUUCUCAGAUUCUCUAACUCAUGAACUCCUAUCCCUCAUCUGAAUGCACCCAAAAUGUUACCACUUUGGUGUAGUUUUCCUCUUUUCUCUACAUGCUCCUUUUGUCAUAAUAGCAUUCACUUCUCAGUUCCAUAAUUACUUACAUGUUAGCUCCCUCCCUGCUGCCACACAUUUGUGAGGGAGUACAUUUCAGGGUAACCAAAUUGUUGAUGAGGGAAAGUUCUUUACAGAAGAAUUCCAGCUGAUUAAUGUACAAGAAAUAAAUUUCAAUACAACAACUUGUGACUCCUUAUGGAAAAAUGAUUGGGAAACAAUCGUCGAUAGAUAACAAAACAGUGAUUCUCAGUCCAGCCUACACUUCAGAAUCACUUGGAAACUUUUCAAAAUAUAUCUCUGCCUAGGCUCUACACCCAGAGAUUAAGAUUCAGUCCAUCAGGGGUGAAGCCCCCUGAUAGUUUUAAAAGCUCCUCGGGUGAUCCUAAUAUGCAUCCAGAUUUAAUAAUCAAUGCUCUAAAACUAUUAGGUAGAUGGUUAAUAGGGGAUUUUUUAAUAAGUGAAUCAAGAAGGUAACACUGAAUUCACUGAUCAAUCUUAUGGUUACUAAAAUUGGGGCUGUAGCGGUGGAUCACACCUAUAAUCCCAGGACUGUAGGAGACUGAGGCAGGUGGAUCUCUUGAGCCCAGGAGUUCAAUACCAGCCUAGGCAACAUGGCAAAACUCUGUCUCUACAAAAAUAUAAAAAUUAGCCAGGCAUGGUGGCACAUGCCUGUAGUCCCAGCUACUCAGGAGGCUGAGAUGGGAGAAAGACCUGAGCCCAGGAGGUUGAGGCUGUGGUGAGCUAUGAUCAUGCCACUGAACUCCAGCCUGGGCAACAGAGCAAGACCCUGUCUCAAAAAGGGAAGGGAGCUGAUAAACAUGUUCUAAAAUUGACUGAGGUUAUGGUUGCAUAAUUCUGUGAAUAUACUAAAAAGCAUUAAAUUGUACACUUUAAAUAGAUGAAUUGUAUCUCAUUAAGGCUGUUUUUUUUAAAUCAAGAUAAAUUUCUAUCUCUAUGCAAACAUACAGAAGACUACAGUAUUUUAUUUAAAUCUUUUGAUUUUAUAUUUCUCUUUUCCUUUGCACUGACAAUCUUGGUUCCUAAUAACUCUAAUAUGACUAUUUGUUUUAUCUGUACCUACAUCUAUAUCUAUACCUAUCUAGCUAUGUAAAUAAAAAUAGUACCUGAAUAGCAGUAUCUAUAAUACCAAAUUUAGUAGAAACAGUGUAAGAUUUUUUUGGUGUUUCUUUUUAUUCUUAAGCUGUUUCCCACUUGGGAAGUAUAGGAAAUUACUGUGUUAUAAACACAUUUGAGAUAAUUCUUGGGUGUUUAAGGCACUAUUUUGAUAUACAGGUUUAAUUUUAGUUAUUUUUUAAAGGUCACCUCCCCCCCUCCCCCCCAUUUUUUCCCUGAUUUUAAAUUUUGAUAUAUAAUUACGUAAUUUAGUUACAGGUCAAAACAAAGUAUUUUCCGAGAAAUCUAGCUUCUACCUCUCUUCUAAGUUGUUUCUCUUUUAUUGAUAACCAUUUAUUUUAUGGUUUAUUCCUCCAUUUUAAAAUAAGUUAUAAGCAAAUACAUAAAUGACAGCUUUGUAUUAUAUACAGUUGAUUCUGCCUUGUUUUAAACUUAAUGUUAUAUCCUGGAGAUCACUGUAUACAGAGUUUUUUGUUCUUUAGCUGCAUAGUACUCCACUACAUGGGUUUCAACAUCCAAUACAUGGAUGUGCUAUAAUUUAUUGACAUAGUUACUACAAAUAGACAUUUAGGUCAUCUUCUGUAUUUUGAAAUUAGUAAAAACAGUGCUGUUAUCUUUUCAUAUUUUUGCCAGUAUAUCUUUAAGAUUCUUCUUUUUCUUCUUGAGAUAGGGUCUUUCUCUGUCACCCAGACUGAAGUGCAGUAGUGUGAUCAUAGCUCACUGCAGCUUCAAACUCCUGGGCUCAAGCAAUCCUCCUGCCUCAGCCUCCCGAGUGGCUGGGACUACAGGCAUGCCCUACCACGCCUUGCUAAUUUUUUGUAUUUUUUAUAGAGAUGGGGUCUCACUAUGUUGCCUAGGCUAGUCUCAAACUCCUGGCCUCAAGUGGUUCUUUCACCUCAGCCCUCCCAAAAGGUUGGGAUUUACAGGUGUGACCCACUGGCCCUAAGAUAAUUUUCUAGAAGUAGGAAUGUCAAGUCAAAGGGUAAACUCAUAGGUAAUUUUCCUUGAUAUUGCCGAAUUCCCUUCCAUUAAGUUGUUUCAUUUUGCAUUUCUACAAGUAACGUAUGAGAGUGUCUGUUUCUCUACAGCCCAAUCAAUAUAAAAUGUUGCCAAACUUUUGGAUUUUUGUCAAUGUAAUAAGUGAAGAAUAGUAUCUCAAUGUAGUUUUAAUUUGAAUUUCUCUUACUAUCAAUUAGAUUGAGCAUUUUUUUUUUUUUUUUUGAGACGGAGUCUCGCUCUGUCACCCAGGCUCGAGUGCAGUGGCACGAUCUCGGCUCACCGCAAGCUCUGCCUCCUGGGUUCAUGCCAUUCUCCUGCCUCAGCCUCCCGAGUAGCUGGGACUACAGGUGCCCGCCACCACGCCCGGCUAAUUUUUUUUUUUCUAUUUUUCGUAGAGACAGGGUUUCACUGUGUUAGCCAGGAUGCUCUCGAUCUCCUGGCCUCGUGAUCCGCCCGCCUCGGCCUCCCAAAGUGCUGGGAUUACAGACAUGAGCCACCGCGCCUGGCCGAUUGAGCAUAUUUUCAUAUGUUCAAGGACCAUUUGCAUUUUUUCUCCUAUCUUUAGCCCAAUAAAGAUAGAGUUAUUGGUCUUUUAAGAGCUCUUUAUUAGGGAUAAUAAAAGUUGCAAUUUUUUUUUCCAAUUUGUCUUUUACUUUGCUCAGCUUUUACUCCCUCCAAAGUUUUUCUUUUAAUUUAUGUAAUCAUAUUUAUCAAUCUUUUCCUUUAUUGUUUUUAGAUUUUGGGUCAUGGUUAGGAAAUAUUUUUCCCAUUGCCAGGAUAUGAAGGGACCACUCAUGUUUUCUUCUAUUAUUUAUAUGGAUUCACUUCUUUGACUCAUUUGAAAUUUAUCUUGAUGUAUGAAGAAUGGAAUAAUUUUUUACUUUUUUAAAAUUUCAUUUUAAUUUUUGAGAUAGGAUCUUACUAUGUCGCCCAGGUUGGGGUGCAGUGGUGCAAUCAUAGCUCACUGUAACCUCAAACUCCUGGGCUCAAGCAAUCCUCUCAUGUCAGCCUCCUGAGUAGCUAGGAAUGCAAGUGUAUGCCACCACGCCCAGAUAUUUUUUGAAUUUUUUGUAGAGAUGGGGUUUUGCUAUGUUGCCCAGGCUGGUCUCAAACUCUUGGCCUCAAGUGAUCCUUCUGCCUUGGCCUCCCAAAGCUGAAAUUAUAGGUGUGAACCACCAUGUCCAGCCUUACUUUUAUCUUAUACCAACAUUUGAGUAAGGCUUACUUUGCUGGUUUUACAGUCUAUGCAUAUGUAUUUAUUUACCCAUGCAGUCAAGGAAAAAAAUAUGCGUCAUACUAAGGAUAGGAAUUUUAUAUGUCAUUUUGGAUAACAAAAAGUUCCAUUUUUACAGAACAAAAAUCAUACUGUGUGACCUUCUGUACUAUUAAGUAUUUUGAAAGGCUUUCUGUGCUUUUGCAACUAUUGGCAUAAACCACAUCCUCUUUCUAGUUGUGCCAGGUAACAUAAAAUUAAGCCAAAGAUAACCAACUCCUGGAUUAGAUAAAGCCAUUUAUUAAUUAAAAUUAAUGUUAAAAAACAUAAAUUAAGACUAAAUAGGAGUCAUAGGGUAAAUGCUCAAUAUCUUUUUAAUUAAAAUUCCGUGUGAUUCUGUGACUAAUUCUUGCUGCCAAGGAAAAUAAGAAUCCCUAAGUCUCUGAGGUUCAACUCUGAAAGUACAUUAGGAAUAUCACCUAUUGAUAUUAAUGUCAUCAAUUUUUAACUUAAUUCUUUCUCAUGAUGACAUUUUGUGAUAAAUAUAUACUGGUAUUUUCAUGAAAAAAACUAACUGGCUAAGUCACUAGCACAAUUAGAACUUAGCACCAGGUAGAAACUAAUACCUAAAGGAAAAUGUACAAUGUUGCAAUUUAAGUUAGACAUUAUUUUAAUUCUCAUCUGCUGUGUGCCAAGUUCUAAAGAAAUUUUCAAAAAGAAUAAAAAUUUCUAGAUGAGAAAAGCAGAGCAGAUUGUAAAUGUCAGGUCUCCAGGACAAUAAUGUCUCAUUCUUUCACUUUAAUGACUCAAGCAUAUAAGGAUUCAUUAUUCAAUAAAUGGCUUCUGCUCUUAUCUAUAAUAAAGAGAGCAAGGAAAGGAAUAGAUGACAACAUCAGUGGAUAACCUAUAGUCUCAUUUUGGAUACUGGAUCUCACCUUCACCUUAAGCAAACCUAUUAAUUUCAACUAUAUCACAUGAACAAAAACAUCUGAAUUUCGGCAUUUUAAAUCUCCCUCUCUUUCAGGUAGUGAAGUUCAUGAGCUGGGAAAUAAUCAGAAAGUAGCAGGAUGAGAGAUGGCAAAAGUCUUAGAUGACAUAUUGGCUAUCAAAAAAUUUCAUUUUAGACAUGAAGUUACAGCUGAGAGUUUGUGACCUAAACAAAGUUAGUUGGGUAUAGGUCUUCUGACUCUGAGUCCAGUGCUCUGUCCAAUAUACCAAUUCUACUAGUCAGGUCAGAUAAGAAAAAUGUACAGCUGGAACAUUAUUACCUAAUUGCAUAUAAACAAAAUUCCAUUGAAACAAAAUUCUGUAAACAUCACUUACAAGUAGAUGACUAAAAAGAUAAUUCUACUAUAGGAUCUAUGCUAAGUAUGCCAAACAUUUCACAAUCAUAAUUAAUUUAUACCAUUUCAGAUAGGAAAAUUGAAGCUACGGUCAAAUUCAGGUUAAAAAAAAAACCACUGAGUGCCUACUAUGGAUCAGGUACUGGUGACAGAAUGAGAGGAUAAAUUACUAAAACAAAGUCAAAAAUAAGUAUUUUUAACCUUUGGGACAAAGCUUACUUAGACCAUACUCCUUAUUAAAGGAAAGUUAAAUCUCAGUAGUCUCCUAUACAAUUAUUCAUUAUUUUUGAUGAAAAGAAGACUUCAAAGAGUUUUUCCAAAAUAUAAUACAAAGAUCUGAAUUCAAAAAAUAUUUAUUCCAACAUUUCUUAAAUUACUGGGGACACUAUUAUAAGUAAAAUAAAUUGACAGAUGCUAACUCCAGCUUUAUGAAUUCUCAAUGCUAAGAUGACCUUAUUUCUAUAAUACAGCAUUUAUGAUAUUCUAAAGUACUUUUAGAGAUAGAACCAAGAUACCAAGUUACUUGUUUGAAAUGAAAACUGUCCCAGUCUAUCCAGAGUUGAUGUCUUCCCUAAGUUUGGGAGAUCAUUCGUAGAAAAAGGAGACACAUACC